CCUACGGGAGGCAGCAGUGGGGAAUAUUGCACAAUGGGGGAAACCCUGAUGCAGCGAUGCCGCGUGAGCGAUGAAGUAUUUCGGUAUGUAAAGUACUAUCAGCAGGGAAGAAAAUGACGGUACCUGACUAAGCAGCCCCGGAUAACGACGUGACAGCAGCCGCGGUAAUACGUAGGGGGCAAGCGUUAUCCGGAAUUACUGGGUGUAAAGGGAGCGUAGACGGUCCUGCAAGCCAGAUGUGAAAGCCCGGGGCUCAACCCCGGGACUGCAUUUGGAACUGGAAGGCUAGAGUGUCGGAGAGGCGGGUAGAAUUCCUAGUGUAGCGGUGAAAGGCGUAGAGAUUAGGAGGAACACCAGUGGCGAAGGCGGCCUGCUGGACGAUGACUGACGUUGAGGCGCGAAAGCGUGGGGAGCAAACAGGAUUAGAUACCCCAGUAGUC
rnacentral:rRNA from 1 species